UACAGGGGGUGCAAACGUUGCUCGGAAUCAUUGGGCGUAAAGCGCACGUAGGCGGUUUGUUAUGUCGGAUGUGAAAGCCCUUGGCUCAACUGAGGAAGUGCAUCCGAAACUGGCAAGCUAGAGUACCAAAGAGGGUCGCGGAAUUCCCGGUGUAGAGGUGAAAUUCGUAGAUAUCGGGAGGAACACCGGUGGCGAAGGCGGCGACCUGGGUAGAUACUGACGCUGAGGUGCGAAAGCGUGGGGAGCAAACAGG
rnacentral:rRNA from 1 species